rnacentral:rRNA from 1 species
AUUGAACGCUGGCGUCAUGCUUUACACAUGCAAGUCGAACGGUAACAGCACUUCGGUGGCUGACGAGUGGCGAACGGGUGAGUAAUACAUCGGAACGUGCCUAGUAGUGGGGGAUAACUACUCGAAAGAGUAGCUAAUACCGCAUGAGAUCUAAGGAUGAAAGCAGGGGACCUUCGGGCCUUGCGCUACUAGAGCGGCUGAUGGCAGAUUAGGUAGUUGGUGGGAUAAAAGCUUACCAAGCCGACGAUCUGUAGCUGGUCUGAGAGGACGACCAGCCACACUGGGACUGAGACACGGCCCAGACUCCUACGGGAGGCAGCAGUGGGGAAUUUUGGACAAUGGGCGCAAGCCUGAUCCAGCAAUGCCGCGUGCAGGAUGAAGGCCUUCGGGUUGUAAACUGCUUUUGUACGGAACGAAAAGCCCUCUUCUAAUACAGGAGGGUCAUGACGGUACCGUAAGAAUAAGCACCGGCUAACUACGUG